rnacentral:rRNA from 1 species
GACGAACGCUGGCGGCGUGCUUAACACAUGCAAGUCGAACGGAAAGGCCCUGCUUUUGUGGGGUGCUCGAGUGGCGAACGGGUGAGUAACACGUGAGUAACCUGCCCUUGACUUUGGGAUAACUUCAGGAAACUGGAGCUAAUACCGGAUAGGAGCUCCUGCUGCACGGUGGGGGUUGGAAAGUUUCGGCGGUUGGUGAUGGACUCGCGGCUUAUCAGCUUGUUGGUGGGGUAGUGGCUUACCAAGGCUUUGACGGGUAGCCGGCCUGAGAGGGUGACCGGCCACAUUGGUACUGAGAUACGGCCCAGACUCCUACGGGAGGCAGCAGUGGGGAAUAUUGCACAAUGGGCGGAAGCCUGAUGCAGCAACGCCGCGUGCGGGAUGACGGCCUUCGGGUUGUAAACCGCUUUCGCCUGUGACGAAGCGUGAGUGACGGUAAUGGGUAAAGAAGCACCGGCUAACUACGUG